AACGUAGGAGGCAAGCGUUAUCCGGAGUUACUGGGCGUAAAGCGCAUGUAGGCGGUUGGGCAAGUGGCGAGUGAAAGCUCCCGGCUAAACUGGGAGAGGACAUGUCAGACUGCCCGGCUAGAGGCGGAUAGAGGGGCGCAGAAUUCGGGGUGUAGCGGUGAAAUGUGUAGAGAUCCCGAGGAAUACCAGUGGUGAAGACGGCGCCCUGGGUCCGUACUGACGCUGAGAUGCGAAAGCGUGGGGAGCGAACGGG
rnacentral:rRNA from 1 species